rnacentral:rRNA from 1 species
GACGAACGCUGGCGGCGCGCCUAACACAUGCAAGUCGAACGAGCGAGAGAGAGCUUGCUUUCUCGAGCGAGUGGCGAACGGGUGAGUAACGCGUGAGGAACCUGCCUCAAAGAGGGGGACAACAGUUGGAAACGACUGCUAAUACCGCAUAAGCCCACAGCUCGGCAUCGAGCAGAGGGAAAAGGAGUGAUCCGCUUUGAGAUGGCCUCGCGUCCGAUUAGCUGGUUGGUGAGGUAACGGCCCACCAAGGCAACGAUCGGUAGCCGGACUGAGAGGUUGAACGGCCACAUUGGGACUGAGACACGGCCCAGACUCCUACGGGAGGCAGCAGUGGGGAAUAUUGCACAAUGGGGGAAACCCUGAUGCAGCGACGCCGCGUGGAGGAAGAAGGUCUUCGGAUUGUAAACUCCUGUUGUUGAGGAAGAUAAUGACGGUACUCAACAAGGAAGUGACGGCUAACUACGUGCCAGCAGCCGCGGUAAAACGUAGGUCACAAGCGUUGUCCGGAAUUACUGGGUGUAAAGGGAGCGCAGGCGGGAAAGCAAGUUGGAAGUGAAAUCCAUGGGCUCAACCCAUGAACUGCUUUCAAAACUGUUUUUCUUGAGUAGUGCAGAGGUAGGCGGAAUUCCCGGUGUAGCGGUGGAAUGCGUAGAUAUCGGGAGGAACACCAGUGGCGAAGGCGGCCUACUGGGCACCAACUGACGCUGAGGCUCGAAAGUGUGGGUAGCAAACAGG